AAAGCAGGUUGCAAUUACAGUGCUUCAUUUUGUGGGAGUACUGCCAUUAUCCUGCUGAAAGAAAAUCUUGUGUUGAUCCUUUUUGAUUUUGCCUUUAUGAGGGUAAGAUCAUGACCGAUUGACAUGGACAAUU